rnacentral:rRNA from 1 species
GUCUACGGCCAUGCCACCCUGAAAGCGCCCGAUCUAGUCUGAUCUUGGAAGCUAAGCAGGGUCGGGCCUGGUUAGUACUUGGAUGGGAGANN